rnacentral:rRNA from 1 species
UACGAAGGGGGCUAGCGUUGCUCGGAAUCACUGGGCGUAAAGGGUGCGUAGGCGGGUCUUUUAAGUCAGGGGUGAAAUCCUGGAGCUCAACUCCAGAACUGCCUUUGAUACUGAAGAUCUUGAGUUCGGGAGAGGUGAGUGGAACUGCGAGUGUAGAGGUGAAAUUCGUAGAUAUUCGCAAGAACACCAGUGGCGAAGGCGGCUUACUGGUCCAUUACUGACGCUGAGGUGCGAAAGCGUGGGGAGCAAACAGG